UACGGCCAAAACGCGUUCUGGCCACUAACCUAUUACCAAAGUCCGAAAAAUCGCGUUCCGGCCGUUAAAUGUAGACCAGAACGCGUUCUGGUCCUUUUGAAAUUACCAGAAUGCGUUCUGGAUCUUUUCAAAUUACCAGAACGCGUUUUGGAUCUUUUAAAAUUUCCAGAAUGCGUAUUGACUUUUCGCAGUUAGCCUGAAAGCAAUCUGACUUUUGUCACAUUGCCAAAACGCGUCGAACACAUAAAAAAAUCGUUCAAAGGCCAGUGUAAUAUGGAAAAAUAUUUUUAUUGUUUAUACAUCGAUCGCGGCAAAUCGUCCUGGGAUACCCUGUAACACCCGUUAUGUUUUAUCUCAAAAUUAGUCGUGAUCUUCGGAUAAUAUAUGGAGGUUCAAACCUACAGAACAUAUCAAGAAUAUUAAAAAUUUCCGGAAUAAUUAGCGAAUUAAGAUUAACGUCAAAAAAAAUCUUUAAAUCAUUUAAAACAGUUUAUUUAUUGUUAAAUAAUUCACAAAUACUGUUUACUUUUUACCACAAAUUUUGCCAGUAGCCGCCUUACAUUUUUUUAAGGUUUUAAAAUUAUUCCUUGAAGCAUUACAUCCACCGAAUAUUGUUUUUUCACAUUUUCUUGAUUCGUCGUUCCAAUAAUAAAUUUCAAUGGCGAGUCCACAGUUUAUGUGGCCAACCGUAUGGAAUUUGUAGCAAUCUGAAAUAAAAAGAAAAAUUUAAGACUUGUAUUUAAUAAACAAAAUUAUAAAUCUAUAAUAAAAAAAUAUACGCAAGAACAGUUCAAAAGGUGGUCCUGUGGAUUCUGUAUGUAAUGUUAACGUUGCUUUAUAUUAUCUUUCGCUGUAUUUGCUAAUUUAGUCUAUAUAUUCAUUCGUUAUCAUGUAACAGCAUAAAAAUUGUUUUUUAAAACGUGCUUCGCACGAUAAGAAACAUAACUGGCGCAGUCGGGUAGGAUUGGAGCUUUUGUGAUCCUGUAUUCACGUCAUUGGGACGCCGUGAUCACUACAAUCGUGAGUUUUAACUCUUUAGCUCCAAACGAACGUCUCAGCUGUAAAUCAACCCUGAAGUGGUGUGCCACGGGAAGAAGAACAGUCGACACAUCAUUUGGGAAUCAAGGCACAGAGAAGAGGUGGCUGAUACGGAGAUUCACCUUGAGUAGGAAAAGGUUGGCAUCUCUCCGUCGAAGGACAUCGAUCGCGGCAAAUCGUCCUGGGAUACCCUGUAACACCCGUUAUGUUUUAUCUCAAAAUUAGUCGUGAUCUUCGGAUAAUAUAUGGAGGUUCAAACCUACAGAACAUAUCAAGAAUAUUAAAAAUUUCCGGAAUAAUUAGCGAAUUAAGAUUAACGUCAAAAAAAAUCUUUAAAUCAUUUAAAACAGUUUAUUUAUUGUUAAAUAAUUCACAAAUACUGUUUACUUUUUACCACAAAUUUUGCCAGUAGCCGCCUUACAUUUUUUUAAGGUUUUAAAAUUAUUCCUUGAAGCAUUACAUCCACCGAAUAUUGUUUUUUCACAUUUUCUUGAUUCGUCGUUCCAAUAAUAAAUUUCAAUGGCGAGUCCACAGUUUAUGUGGCCAACCGUAUGGAAUUUGUAGCAAUCUGAAAUAAAAAGAAAAAUUUAAGACUUGUAUUUAAUAAACAAAAUUAUAAAUCUAUAAUAAAAAAAUAUACGCAAGAACAGUUCAAAAGGUGGUCCUGUGGAUUCUGUAUGUAAUGUUAACGUUGCUUUAUAUUAUCUUUCGCUGUAUUUGCUAAUUUAGUCUAUAUAUUCAUUCGUUAUCAUGUAACAGCAUAAAAAUUGUUUUUUAAAACGUGCUUCGCACGAUAAGAAACAUAACUGGCGCAGUCGGGUAGGAUUGGAGCUUUUGUGAUCCUGUAUUCACGUCAUUGGGACGCCGUGAUCACUACAAUCGUGAGUUUUAACUCUUUAGCUCCAAACGAACGUCUCAGCUGUAAAUCAACCCUGAAGUGGUGUGCCACGGGAAGAAGAACAGUCGACACAUCAUUUGGGAAUCAAGGCACAGAGAAGAGGUGGCUGAUACGGAGAUUCACCUUGAGUAGGAAAAGGUUGGCAUC
rnacentral:lncRNA from 1 species